ACGAAGUAGCAAUACUUAGUGGCAGACGGGUGAGUAACAUGUAGGUAUCUUCCCUAUGGCCUGGAAUAACACGAGGAAACUUGUGCUAAUACCGGAUGAGUCUUUACAGAGAAAGCUUUAUGCACCAUUGGAUGAGCCUGCACUUGAUUAGUUUGUUGGUAGGGUAAUGGCCUACCAAGACUUUGAUCAAUAGCUGAUUUGAGAGGAUGGUCAGCCACAUUGGGACUGAGACACGGCCCAAACUCCUACGGGAGGCAGCAGUGGGGAAUCUUGCACAAUGGAGGAAACUCUGAUGCAGCGAUGCCGCGUGAGUGAAGAAGGCCUUUGGGUUGUAAAGCUCUUUCGUCGGGGAAGAAAAUGACUGUACCCGAAUAAGAAGGUCCGGCUAACUUCGUGCCAGCAGCCGCGGUAAUACGAAGGGACCUAGCGUAGUUCGGAAUUACUGAGCUUAAAGAGUUCGUAGGUGGUUGAAAAAGUUGGUGGUGAAAUCCCAGAGCUUAACUCUGGAACUGCCAUCAAAACUUUUCAGCUAGAGUUUGAUAGAGGAAAGCAGAAUUUCUAGUGUAGAGGUGAAAUUCGUAGAUAUUAGAAAGAAUACCAAUUGCGAAGGCAGCUUUCUGGAUCAUUACUGACACUGAGGAACGAAAGCAUGGGUAGCGAAGAGGAUUAGAUACCCUCGUAGUCCAUGCCGUAAACGAUGUGUGUUAGACGUUGGAAAUUUAUUUUCAGUGUCGCAGCGAAAGCAAUAAACACACCGCCUGGGGAGUACGACCGCAAGGUUAAAACUCAAAUGAAUUGACGGGGACCCGCACAAGUAGUGGAGCAUGUGGUUUAAUUCGAAGAUACGCGCAGAACCUUACCAACACUUGACAUGUUCGUCGCGACUUUAAGAGAUUAAAGUUUUCGGUUCGGCCGGACGAAACACAGGUGCUGCAUG
rnacentral:rRNA from 1 species